UUCAAAUUUUAUUAAAUAUUCAAUAUGAAUAAAAAAUCUUUAAAAAUGACUAUGACUAAAAAAUGCCAUUGAAUCUCUUUUGAGGGAACUACUAAUUUAUAUCAUUCAAAGGGUUGCUUCCUACUUCCUACAAGAUCUAAUGAGGGUUAAAUUAAGCUUCGGGUUCCUCAAAGAAGUAGCUAGUGAAUGUUCUGUAUAUCAGAAGAGCAUCAGGGAAUUCGGAAGCCUUAUACAGAAAAGGAGAAUGAAUGCAAAUUCUAUAGAUGGAGGUAUCGUGAAGAUGUUGAUAUACGAUCAAGUUCGUUAUUCUCGAAUUGGAGAACAUAAUUAAGGAGUUAGAAACUGAUGAUGAAAGUCAUAUUAAAAGAAGUAACAAAUGGGGGAUGAAGGAGAAGAAGACCAAAUGGUGUAGCUUGUAAAGCUAAUUUUGGUAUUGUUUGUCAUAUUUUUGGUAUUAUUAAGCAUUACCAAGAAGAAUAUUGUAGAGGAUGAAAAGUUCUUAUGUAGUUGUGUACAACCAUUAAAAUUAUCAUAGUUUUGGAAAUAAAUAAACGUAGUUUUGCA